ACGGAGGGGGCAAGCGUUGCUCGGAAUCACUGGGCGUAAAGGGCGCGUAGGCGGGAUGGCAAGUCAGUCGUGAAAUCUCUCGGCUCAACCGAGAAACGUCGGCUGAUACUGCCGUUCUUGAGGGAUGCAGAGGAGACUGGAAUUCCCGGUGUAGCGGUGAAAUGUGUAGAGAUCGGGAGGAACACCGGUGGCGAAGGCGGCUUUCUGGGCCUACCCUGACGCUGAGGAGCGAAAGCGUGGGGAGCAAACCGGA
rnacentral:rRNA from 1 species